GACGAACGCUGGCGGCGUGCCUAACACAUGCAAGUCGGACGGAUCAGGUAUGACAGCUUGCUGUAGUGCCUGGUUAGUGGCGGACGGGUGAGUAACGCGUGAGGACCUACCCUGGAGAGGGGGAUAACGGCUGGAAACGGCUGCUAAUACCCCGUAAGCCUGAGGGUGAAAGGGAGCGAUCUGCUCCGGGGCGGCCUUGCGUCCUAUCAGCUAGUUGGUGGGGUAAUGGCCUACCAAGGCGAAGACGGGUAGCCGGCCUGAGAGGGCGACCGGCCACACUGGAACUGAGACACGGUCCAGACUCCUACGGGAGGCAGCAGUGGGGAAUAUUGGGCAAUGGGGGGAACCCUGACCCAGCGACGCCGCGUGAGGGACGAAGUCCUUCGGGAUGUAAACCUCUGUUGUGGGGGAAGAAGUCAGUGACGGUACCUCACGAGGAAGCCCCGGCAAACUACGUG
rnacentral:rRNA from 1 species